rnacentral:rRNA from 1 species
UACGUAGGGUGCAAGCGUUAAUCGGAAUUACUGGGCGUAAAGCGUGCGCAGGCGGUUAUGUAAGACAGAUGUGAAAUGCCCGGGCUUAACCUGGGAACUGCAUUUGUGACUGCAUGGCUAGAGUUUGGCAGAGGGGGGUAGAAUUCCACGUGUAGCAGUGAAAUGCGUAGAGAUGUGGAGGAACACCGAUGGCGAAGGCAGCCCCCUGGGCCAAGAUUGACGCUCAUGCACGAAAGCGUGGGGAGCAAACAGG